AUUGAACGCUAGCGGCAGGCCUAACACAUGCAAGUCGAACGGAGCGGCGGAGGGGGGAGUAAUACCUAGGAAUCUGCCUGGUAGUGGGGGAUAACGUUCGGAAACGGGCGCUAAUACAGAAUACUAUCAGUAUAGACUCGGUCGGCUUAGCUAGUUGGUGGGGUAAAGGACUACAAAGGCGACGAUCCGGAACUGGUCUGAGAGGAUGAGCAGGCACACUGGAACUGAGACACGGUCCAGACUCGUACGGGAGGCAGACGUGGGGAAUAUUGGACAAUGGGCGAAAGCCUGAUCCAGCCAUUCCGCGUGUGUGAAGAAGGUCUUCGGAUUGUAAAGCACUUUAAGUUGGGAGGCGUUACCAACAGAAUAAGCACCGGCUAACUUCGUGCCAGCAGCCGCGGUAAUAC
rnacentral:rRNA from 1 species